rnacentral:rRNA from 1 species
AACGAACGCUGGCGGCAUGCCUAACACAUGCAAGUCGAACGAGACCUUCGGGUCUAGUGGCGCACGGGUGCGUAACGCGUGGGAACCUGCCCUUAGGUUCGGAAUAACUCCCCGAAAGGGGUGCUAAUACCGGAUAAUGUCUUCGGACCAAAGAUUUAUCGCCUUUGGAUGGGCCCGCGUUGGAUUAGCUAGUUGGUAGGGUAAAAGCCUACCAAGGCGACGAUCCAUAGCUGGUCUGAGAGGCUGAUCAGCCACACUGGGACUGAGACACGGCCCAGACUCCUACGGGAGGCAGCAGUGGGUAAUAUUGGACAAUGGGCGAAAGCCUGAUCCAGCACUGCCGCGUGAGUGAUGAAGGCCUUAGGGUUGUAAAGCUCUUUUACCCGGGAUGAUAAUGACAGUACCGGGAGAAUAAGCUCCGGCUAACUCCGUG